rnacentral:rRNA from 1 species
AUUGAACGCUGGCGGCAGGCCUAACACAUGCAAGUCGAACGAGUGGCGGACGGGUGAGUAAUGUCUGGGAAACUGCCCGAUGGAGGGGGAUAAAUACUGGAAACGGUAGCUAAUACCGCAUACAAUCGGUUGUGCCCAGAUGGGAUUAGCUAGUAGGUGGGGUAACGGCUCACCUAGGCCACGAUCCCUAGCUGGUCUGAGAUGAUGACCAGCCACACUGGAACUGAGACACGGUCCAGACUCCUACGGGAGGCAGCAGGGGGGAAUAUUGCACAAUGGGCGAAAGCCUGAUGCAGCCAUGCCGCGUGUAUGAAGAAGGCCUUCGGGUUGUAAAGUACUUUCAGCGAGGAGGCGUUACUCGAAGAAGAAGCACCGGCUAACUCCGUGCCAGCAGCCGCGGUAAUUC